AUUGAACGCUGGCGGCAGGCCUAACACAUGCAAGUCGAGCGGAGCGGCGGACGGGUGAGUAAUGCCUAGGAAUCUGCCUGGUAGUGGGGGAUAACGUCCGGAAACGGGCGCUAAUACCGCAUACUAUCAGAUGAGCCUAGGUCGGAGUAGCUAGUUGUUGGGGUAAUGGACUACCAAGUGGACGAUCCGUAACUGGUCGGAGAGGAUGAUCAGUAACACUGGAACUGAGAUACGGUCCAGAAGUCUAAGGGAGGCAGCAGUGGGGAAUAUUGGACAAUGGGCGAAAGCCUGAACCAGCCAUGCGGCGUGUGUGAAGAAGGGCUUCGGAGUGUAAAGCACUUUAAGUUGGGAAGCGUUACCAACAGAAUAAGCACCGGCUAACUUCGUGCCAGCAGCCGCGGUAAUAC
rnacentral:rRNA from 1 species